rnacentral:rRNA from 1 species
AGAGUUUGAUCCUGGGUUCAGGAUGAACGUUAGCGGCAGGCUUAACACAUGCAAGUCGAGGGGCAGCGAGAGAGUAGCAAUACUUUUGUCGGCGACCGGCGCAAGGGUGCGUAACGCGUGAGCAACAUGCCCGUAACAGGCGGAUAGACCGUGGAAACGCGGCGUAAACCGCCAUAAGUUGGGAGUAGGCAUCUAUUUCAAAUGAAAUCUACGGAGGUUACGGAUUGGCUCGCGAGACAUUAGCCAGUUGGCGGGGUAACGGCCCACCAAAGCUACGAUGUCUAGGGGUUCUGAGAGGAAGGUCCCCCACACUGGAACUGAGACACGGUCCAGACUCCUACGGGAGGCAGCAGUGAGGAAUAUUGGACAAUGGACGGAAAUCUGAUCCAGCCAUGCCGCGUGCAGGAAGACGGUCCUAUGGAUUGUAAACUGCUUUAGCAUGGGAGCAAUAAGGUGUACGCGUACACCGAUGAGAGUACCAUGAGAAUAAGCACCGGCUAACUCCGUGCCAGCAGCCGCGGUAAUACGGAGGGUGCAAGCGUUAUCCGGAUUUAUUGGGUUUAAAGGGUGCGUAGGCUGUAAGUCAAGUCAGCGGUGAAAAGUCGGGGCUAAACCUUGAGGGUGCCGUUGAAACUGACAUACUAGAAUGCGGAUGAUGCCGGCGGAAUGUGUCAAGUAGCGGUGAAAUGCAUAGAUAUGACACAGAAGGCCGAUUGCGAAGGCAGCUGGCAAAGGCACGAUUGACGCUGAGGCACGAAAGUGCGGGGAUCGAACAGGAUUAGAUACCCUGGUAGUCCGCACAGUAAGCGAUGAUAACUCACUGUCGGCGAUAUAAUGUCGGUGGUC